rnacentral:rRNA from 1 species
AUGGCUGGGACAAGUCAUAAGUCUAAACAGGAUGGACCUGCUAGAUCAAGUCAUGACAACCUUGCAUCUCAUGGGAAUGAAGAGCAUCAAGCACAGCCACGGAGUAGUGCACCAAUAACUGGGUACAAGCGUAUGAGAACUAAGGCAGUUGUUUCACGGGGGAAGCGCCCUGAUGAUAUCAUUAGUAAUGAGAAUAGUAAUGAGAGCCAAGCUGCAGAUGCUGGGAAUAAAAAUGUUGAAGGUGCAGACGUCGAGCAGCCUCCAAAAGCAAAACGCCAAAAGACGGGAGGAACUGAGGGUCGUAGGAACAGGCAUCCCCUGCAAGGCUCUUCAAGUUGA